CAGUCAGAGGCGAUGAAGGACGUGCUAAUCUGCGAUAAGCGUCGGUAAGGUGAUAUGAACCGUUAUAACCGGCGAUUUCCGAAUGGGGAAACCCAGUGUGAUUCGUCACACUAUCAUUAACUGAAUCCAUAGGUUAAUGAGGCGAACCGGGGGAACUGAAACAUCUAAGUACCCCGAGGAAAAGAAAUCAACCGAGAUUCCCCCAGUAGCGGCGAGCGAACGGGGAGCAGCCCAGAGCCUGAAUCAGUGUGUGUGUUAGUGGAAGCGUCUGGAAAGGCGUGCGAUACAGGGUGACAGCCCCGUACACAAAAAUGCACAUACUGUGAGCUCGAUGAGUAGGGCGGGACACGUGGUAUCCUGUCUGAAUAUGGGGGGACCAUCCUCCAAGGCUAAAUACUCCUGACUGACCGAUAGUGAACCAGUACCGUGAGGGAAAGGCGAAAAGAACCCCGGCGAGGGGAGUGAAAAAGAACCUGAAACCGUGUACGUACAAGCAGUGGGAGCACGCUUAGGCGUGUGACUGCGUACCUUUUGUAUAAUGGGUCAGCGACUUAUAUUCUGUAGCAAGGUUAACCGAAUAGGGGAGCCGAAGGGAAACCGAGUCUUAACUGGGCGUUAAGUUGCAGGGUAUAGACCCGAAACCCGGUGAUCUAGCCAUGGGCAGGUUGAAGGUUGGGUAACACUAACUGGAGGACCGAACCGACUAAUGUUGAAAAAUUAGCGGAUGACUUGUGGCUGGGGGUGAAAGGCCAAUCAAACCGGGAGAUAGCUGGUUCUCCCCGAAAGCUAUUUAGGUAGCGCCUCGUGAAUUCAUCUCCGGGGGUAGAGCACUGUUUCGGCAAGGGGGUCAUCCCGACUUACCAACCCGAUGCAAACUGCGAAUACCGGAGAAUGUUAUCACGGGAGACAC
rnacentral:rRNA from 1 species